rnacentral:rRNA from 1 species
UCCAGACUCCACGGGAGGCAGCAGUGAGGAAUAUUGGUCAAUGGACGAAAGUCUGAACCAGCCAUGCCGCGUGCAGGAAGACGGCUCUAUGAGUUGUAAACUGCUUUUGUACAAGGGUAAACCUGAAUACGUGUAUUCAGCUGAAAGUACUGUACGAAUAAGGAUCGGCUAACUCCGUGCCAGCAGCCGCGGUAAUACGGAGGAUCCAAGCGUUAUCCGGAUUUAUUGGGUUUAAAGGGUGCGUAGGCGGGACGGUAAGUCAGCGGUAAAAAUGCGGGGCUCAACUCCGUCGAGCCGUUGAAACUGCCGUUCUUGAGUGAGCGAGAAGUAUGCGGAAUGCGUGGUGUAGCGGUGAAAUGCAUAGAUAUCACGCAGAACUCCGAUUGCGAAGGCAGCAUACCGGCGCUCAACUGACGCUGAAGCACGAAGGCGUGGGUAUCGAACAGGAUUAGAUACCCGCGUAC